CUACGGGAGGCACCAGUGGGGAAUAUUGGACAAUGGGGGCAACCCUGAUCCAGCAAUGCCGCGUGUGUGAAGAAGGCCUGCGGGUUGUAAAGCACUUUCAGUUGAGAGGAAAAGCUUAGGGUUAAUACCCCUGAGUCUUGACGUAACCAACAGAAGAAGCACCGGCUAACUCCGUGCCAGCAGCCGCGGUAAUACGGAGGGUGCAAGCGUUAAUCGGAAUUACUGGGCGUAAAGCGUGCGUAGGCGGAUAUUUUAGUCAGAUGUGAAAGCCCCGGGCUUAACCUGGGAAUUGCAUUUGAUACUGGAUAUCUAGAGUGUAGUAGAGGGGGGUAGAAUUCCCAGUGUAGCGGUGAAAUGCGUAGAUAUUAGGAGGAAUACCAGUGGCGAAGGCGGCCCCCUGGACUAACACUGACGCUGAGGUACGAAAGCGUGGGGAGCAAACAGGAUUAGAUACCCUCGUAGUC
rnacentral:rRNA from 1 species